UUUUAAAAUGUAGCAACACAAUUUUGUUGCGAAACAUUUUGAGAGGGCAAAAAGAAAAUCACAGCAAGAUUAAACAUCUCCUUUCUCCUUCCCUAUUCUUCGACUCAUCCCCCAUUCCCCAUAAACCCUAGAUCGGUUGCUUUUCUUCUUCUCCGGAGACCAUCCUCUUCAAUAUAUCAGAGCCCCCUUAUUCUUCACGCUGCUUCGCCACACUGCUUUUCCAAUCGCUGCCCUCCAUUGCCGCCACCUGGGUUGUUCGUCGGCAUCUCUCCUACCCCUUGCUGGUUGUAUUCCAUACUCUUAUCUUCCCUCCCUCGUUGCUGCACACCGUACCUGGUUGCGCACCAUCUUCUAUCAUCCUCUCUGGGGCAUCCUCGAUGGUUGCCACGCUGGCGAGCUGAGGUCAUCCACCACUCAAUUCACUGCUUCUUCAUUCUCUCUCAACUUAUGCCAAUGAAUAACUAAUUGAGGAAGUAAUUAUUUUUCCGUAGAUUAAUUUGUUUAUUAAUUCUAACUUCGAUGUUGUUUGUUGUCAGUUUUGAUAUUUAUACUGUUAUGUUGGCCAAUUUGUUGCAAUCUCUUGAUAUUUCUAGUGAAUUUGUUUAGCAAUGUGUUCUUGCUAGUGAUAAUUAAUUAUGUUACUCCGUACAGAGUAGGCAAAAUGAAAUUACAGAAAUUAAGUUAAUUAUUAGGUAUCAAUGCAUUGAAAUCAUUCUCUAAAUGUAUUGUACUCUUGGAGUAUAAUGGAAAUAAUUACCAUUAUGAGCUCGUUAUAAUAAGACAUGAAAAGCAAAUAAUGCGUGUAUUGUAAUGACCAAAAAUAAAGACUUAUGUGACAAAUUGACUAGUAAUUAUUGUUUCCCCUACAUCGUGGUUCAAUAAUAAUGGUUUUUGGCUAUUUAGCUUGUUUUCACCAUGUAAUAUUAUUGCUUUUUCCUUGUUGAGUUGCAAUGUAGCUUUUCUGGAAAUGCAGGGCCUUCUGAAGGCUGCCUCAGAGUGGAAAGUUUUUAGAUUUCUAAUCUUUUCCCCAGGACAUCUAAUAUGUGAAAUAACUCCUCCUACAAUAUAUUCACGGUUUGGAUACACGAGGCGUUCAUUAUAUACGUCGUUUGGUCCAACACUUCAGGAUGCAGGUUUCUUUUUUUCUUCCUGAACUUGGAAAAUACAAGGCUUACAUUAGCGAGACAGUAUUUUCCUCCAUAUUUUUAGCGUUUGUCUUGGUAAGGCUCCCUUAAUAUAUACACUCUUGUUUCAUCUUUUAUUAUCUAGCGUACUAUGCUUGUUAUUCACUGCAUAGUCCAUAGUUUAUAAUGCCUCUUGCCUGUUUUCUCUUGUGAUAUAGUGUCGCUCUCUUUGUUGUUUACUUUUCUUUUCACACUGUAAAGUUUGUACAAAAACUAUUAGAUUUCCAGCUCAGAUAUGGUUUUAUUGUGCUUAUAAAUUACUGAAAAUUUCCAGCAAAUUGUAAUGACAUUUAUUUAGUAAAGAAGGCCUGAAGCCUGGAUGCUUGUCUUCUAAAAAUUGUUGUUCAGAGUCAUUGACGGUGUUAGAAAUAUCAACGAUGGAGUUAAGCUAAUGUGGCCUAUUCUUGCACUACUUAAGACUUGAGAUAUCAUACAGUUCAACUACCCAAUCUUGUUAUGUUUUUCAUAUCUAGGAAGACCUCUUUGAGUAUUAGAUAUGGAAGUUGGUUUACUUUAUCUAGGAGACUAGUAGUCAUUUUUAAUUGAUAUAUUAUAUAUAAUCAUCUUCCAAUUGACGUUCUCUUGUACUUUGUAUUUGUUAUCUGUUUGUAACAAGCAACUGCAGCUAGUUUAUAAUUUUUUGAUCCCUUGAUAUGUUGUGUCAUUGCCUAUUUGUAUUUGCACAUGAAUGUUAUACUGUUGAAUCUGUUAUGAUAAUAUAGUUAUUGUGCAUGCUAUCAAACAAACUGUUCUAUAUUAUCUUAUAUGAUUCACGCUACCAUGACAACUACAAUGAUAAUAUUGUUAAUAUUUUGUUCAAGCAUGACAGUUUCUUAAGAUCAUAACAUUCUAUUCUACACCGCUUCCUGGUCCAAACUAACACUCCUGUAAGGUAAAGCUUUUUUAGAUUUCAACAUAAAAUAGUGGAAUCUAAGCAGGAAGGACUUCUGGAUUGAGUUGGAGGCAUCAAACAGAUGGCCACAUUAUCAACAAUAGAUAGUUUCAAGUAGAAAUUCAGCAAAUUAAGAAUUUGAAAUAAAUAAAUCAGUGUUUAGUAUGGUUGAAUUUAGAAAUAUCCUCCAACUUUUUGUAACUUUAUGAGCAACUGGUUCCCCAUCAAGUGAUUCUAUCUUUUCCUCAAAAAAGAACAACAUUAUUUCCUUAUCUGGCUCAAACCAAGCUUGGCAGAUUACUUAUAUUUGAUUUCUAGCACUCUUCCGUCCCACAUCAAACCAAACAUCAAACCAGGUAAUUGUACUCAAUAUAUGUUUAGUAUAUGUUGAUUAAAUUCAAUUUAAAUUAACGUUUGAUUUCUUAAUAAUAGUAGAUUGUAAUUCUAAAAUGGCAGGUGAAUGAGGAUGAGAAUGAAGAUGGGGAUGGGGGUGAGGAUGAGGAUCAAAUGAAGAGUAUAGUGAAACGCAAACAUAUGAAGAGUAGCAGGAUUUUUGUUCUCAUUUAAUUCAAUGUAUGAAGCUAAAGAAAUGGAGCUGGUCACCAAACAUGAAGCGGGUGAAGAAAAUAACAUCUUAGUUUAGAUCUAUAGUUCUAAAUGAGAAUAUUUUUCCUAUUUUCUAUGGUUUUAAUAAUUAAUCAUGUACUUAUUUCGAUACUACGAGAUGCAUGUAGUUGGGGGUUUGUCCGUGACAUUUUUAGUGUACUAAUUAUGUAAUGAGUUCUUAUAUUUGUUAAUAAAGCAAUUGAUUUUGCAUAA